UACGUAGGCAGCGAGCGUUGUUCGGAGUUACUGGGCGUAAAGAGUAUGUAGGCGGUUCUGCAAGUUUGGUGUGAAAUCUCCCGGCUUAACCGGGAGGGUGCGCCGAAAACUACAGGGCUAGAGUGCGGGAGAGGAGAGCGGAAUUCCUGGUGUAGCGGUGAAAUGCGUAGAUAUCAGGAGGAACGCCGGCGGUGUAGACGGCUCUCUGGACCGCGACUGACGCUGAGAUACGAAAGCGUGGGUAGCAAACAGG
rnacentral:rRNA from 1 species